UACGAAGGGGGCUAGCGUUGUUCGGAAUUACUGGGCGUAAAGGGCGCGUAGGCGGUCCCUCAAGUCAGGCGUGAAAGCCCCGGGCUCAACCUGGGAACCGCGCUUGAGACUGGCGGGCUAGAGUUCGGGAGAGGAUGGUGGAAUUCCCAGUGUAGAGGUGAAAUUCGUAGAUAUCUGGAGGAACACCGGUGGCGAAGGCGGCAUCCUGGACCGAGAUUGACGCUGAGGCGCGAAAGCUAGGGGAGCAAACGGG
rnacentral:rRNA from 1 species